GACAUAGGUGGCGAACGUUAUCCGGAAUUAUUGGGCGUAAAGGAUGCGUAGAUGGUAGAAUAAGUUAUUGGUCGAUGCCAAACUCAAUUUGGCGGAAGCUGGUAAUACUGUUCAACUAGAGGACAGGAGAGGUUGAUGGAAUUCUGUGUGGAGCGGUGAAAUGCGUUGAUCUACAGAGGAACACCAAAAAAGGCGAAGGCAGUCGACUAUUCUGUUCCUGACAUUGAGGCAUGAAAGCGUGGGGAGCAAACCGG
rnacentral:rRNA from 1 species